rnacentral:rRNA from 1 species
GAUGAACGCUGGCGGCAUGCCUAAUACAUGCAAGUCGAGCGAAUGGAUUAAGAGCUUGCUCUUAUGAAGUUAGCGGCGGACGGGUGAGUAACACGUGGGUAACCUGCCCAUAAGACUGGGAUAACUCCGGGAAACCGGGGCUAAUACCGGAUAACAUUUUGAACCGCAUGGUUCGAAAUUGAAAGGCGGCUUCGGCUGUCACUUAUGGAUGGACCCCCGUCGCAUUAGCUAGUUGGUGAGGUAACGGCUCACCAAGGCAACGAUGCGUAGCCGACCUGAGAGGGUGAUCGGCCACACUGGGACUGAGACACGGCCCAGACUCCUACGGGAGGCAGCAGUAGGGAAUCUUCCGCAAUGGACGAAAGUCUGACGGAGCAACGCCGCGUGAGUGAUGAAGGCUUUCGGGUCGUAAAACUCUGUUGUUAGGAAAGAACAAGUGCUAGUUGAAUAAGCUGGUACCUUGACGGUACCUAACCAGAAAGCCACGGCUAACUACGUGCCAGCCGCCGCAGUAA